rnacentral:rRNA from 1 species
CCUACGGGAGGCUGCAGUGGGGAAUAUUGGACAAUGGGGGGAACCCUGAUCCAGUCAUGCCGCGUGUGUGAAGAAGGCCCUCGGGUUGUAAAGCACUUUCAGUGAGGAAGAACGCCUGGUGGUUAAUACCCAUCAGGAAAGACAUCACUCACAGAAGAAGCACCGGCUAACUCCGUGCCAGCAGCCGCGGUAAUACGGAGGGUGCGAGCGUUAAUCGGAAUUACUGGGCGUAAAGCGCGCGUAGGUGGCUUGAUAAGCCGGUUGUGAAAGCCCCGGGCUCAACCUGGGAACGGCAUCCGGAACUGUCCAGCUAGAGUGCAGGAGAGGAAGGUAGAAUUCCCGGUGGAGCGGUGAAAUGCGUAGAGAUCGGGAGGAAUACCAGUGGCGAAGGCGGCCUUCUGGACUGACACUGACACUGAGGUGCGAAAGCGUGGGUAGCAAACAGGAUUAGAUACCCCAGUAGUC